rnacentral:lncRNA from 1 species
UCGGGUGGCAGCUGCGAGAGUGACACAUGGUGAGCCGAGCGGAGUGUAAGGCCAAGUGAGGGUCGGCUGCCGGCAGAGAGUUGGAUGCUGAAACUUGCAGUCACACAAGGACUUGAACCUAGAGCUUUUCUAAAGCCCGUACUCUUUCCAGUACCCUGAGCCAGGGGAGCCAGCGGGCAGAAAUGACGUGUGAGGUACCCUCUCUCUCUUCACUUCCAUGUGAUCUGUUACUCAUUUUGUCAAGACAUCCUGGGUCCCAGAGACCACUCUUAUUCCCAGGUGUGUGACCUCCUCCUACAGACUACAGUGGGAAAGACACCAUCUCCAGGUGCCAGGUGCUACACAAGAUACUGGCUAUAGCAGCGAACAGGACAGCCCGUCUCAUCCUCAUGGAGGUCACAGGACAAUGAGAAGAAAGACUUUUUUAUUUUUAUUUUUUUGAGACGGAGUUUUGCUCUUGUUGCCGAGGCUGGAGUGCAGU